UUCAAAUCUCCCACACUUCUUUCUUCCAAAUUCUAAAUUCUGAUUCCGAAUUCCCAAUGAACUUAUCUCGCUUUCUCUCUCUCUCUCUCUCUCUCAAAUGGUCAAACCUAAUUCCACCUCCUCCAUUUUCCUCCGAAUACGGCCAACGAAUAUGCGGCAACCACCUUCAUCUUUGAGAUACAAAGGAAUUCCAGAAGAAUAGACAGAUUGAUUGCUAAUUGGUUUCGACGCCUGAAGCUAGGGUUUUAACACGAGGAAGAUAGACCUCCUCCAUUUUUAUUCUCAGCAGUUGAAAUCGAUUCCCAAUUGCAGUGCUUCUCCAUGUAAUUUUGAUCAUCGGUGAACUAAUUGUAGCUUUGAGAGAACUUACCUAACAAUUUUGCUAGCUAUUCUGGUUCAAAAGCAAGAGUCCAGCCCAUAUUGCAAAUGGAAAUGAAAUCGCCUGAGAAACUCAAUACAGUCGUUGUCUUGAAACAACCAGAUAGCAGCCGUUGGCAGAAGAUUAAUACAUGCAAUGGCUUCUAGUUGGCUAUUUCCCAAAUAAGCUUAUAAACCCAAGCUGCGGACUGAAGACUGGACUGGUUGGUUGGUUACCCCAUCUCCAACGAUGCAGUUAUUACUAGUUAGACCCAUAUUAUUGCUCGUUGGCAUUAAUUUCAUGUCAUUCCCCAUAUUAUUGAUGCCCAUGAUACCACCACCAAGCUGAUUUGACAUCAUCAUUUCAUGUAUGAUUUUUUGAACAGAACUCUGGGAAUCAUUUGCAUCUGUGUCACUGGAAAAUGUUGGCUGUUGCAUUGCAAUGUUCGGUGAACUAGCAGAAUUCAUGUGUGUUCCGGUCGGUAAGCCACCAAGUGAAGUCUGUGGAGGAUUGUUAGAUGAUGAUGCUUUUGGAGACUGGAAAGGAUAAGGAUUGAGUUGCGGUUGUAGUAAGGUACUCAAGGAACACUUGGAGAUGGCAUCUGAACACCAUUUCCUCCAUAAGGACAGUUUGCACUACUCUUCGGGUUUUUGCUGUCUCAAGUUCAUUGAGUUUUGAUGACGCAGCCCACAUAUAUAUGGCACUAGUAAAGGAAGUUGCAGGAGCCGAAUUCAGUGGAUUGUUUACAUUUGCCAUGCCAUUUCUGGAAGGAAGUUGCAAUUAUUAUGAAAAUUGUUUCAAUGUGGCCUAAUCAUAUUGAAACGUGAUGACUUUUGCAAAAUUGGUUGGAAUUAGGAACUACUUGUACCUUUUAGAAUUAGGUUAUAAUGAUGAAUUUGGAAAUUUGCAAUGAUUGUUUCCAUUUAGAUAGUGAAUUGAAUUAACACUUGAAAGGGGAAUGUACUACAAGCAUGGAAAAUAAUUCAUAAA